CGGCUGUCUUUCGGAAAGCACUCUUUGGGAAUGUAGUUCCUAAAUCAGCUGUCAUAUUGAACAAACACUCAAUCAAGCCAUAUUUUAUUCUCUGAGCACUCUUUUGAAACUUUAGUCAUCCAGGAAAUGCUGCAAAUGCACCACUGGUCCUUGAUGGACAUGCCAGGAAGAGCAACGAGGGGAGACAAGGUGCCCAGGGCCAUGAACACAUCACUUGGUCUGCACUAAGAGAGUUCCAGCCACAGAUAAAGAAUCUUCAUUGCCAACUUUGACCUGAAAGCAAUGACUGGGUCAACUAAGCACCCUGUGUUCGUUACUGAGAAAUAAAUUCAAAGAGCUAACAUGGCACCAUCUUGGAAGCCAAAAGCUAAAAAAAAAAAAAAUGUUGUUGCAAUUCAAACUCCACUUAAGUUCUAUCAAAUACCUGGACUGUUCAAUCCCACUAGAAACCUUUACUGAACCCCUGCUAUAUAUUUAGCAGGCUGCUGGGCACUUGAGAAUAUACGAAUAUGUGGGUAUCUGGGAAAGGAAAGGCAUUAGGAAUGUGGGAUGGGGUGACCAGAGCCCUAGCUGCCCUGCUGUGUAGAUGCAUGAGUGAGAAGUUCAGCCUCCCUCCCAAGCAGACACAUCUGCUUCAAAGGCUAGUGCUGCCGUUUACUGGCUGUGUUUCCUCCGUCAAGUUAAUUAACUUCUCUGAGCCUCAUUCCAGCCAUUAGAGCUAUCUUAAACUAUAUUCACAUUCUGGUUAAAUGUCGACAAUAAAUAGAAUCCUAACUAACAAGACUGUGAGAACAAAAUGAGAAGCAUGAAACAGCCUAACUUAGGAGAGUGCCUAACACAUAGUAAGUGGUCAAGACAGCAACUUUUCUAGGAAAGCCAAGCAACUAAAUUUAAUGUGGACCAAAAAAAGGGCAUUCGCAGGGCAAGGGGCAAAAUCUGAAGAGUGACUAUACAGUCAUUAAAAUUGCUGUAGCGAUGCAUAUUUCCUGAUUUUGAUAACUGCGCUGUGGUUAUGUAUUAUUUCAGGAGGCUGGGUGAAGGAUACAUGGGAAUGCUUUAUAUAAUUUUUGCAACCUUUUUGUAAAUGUGUAACUAUUGAAAUGAAACAUCAACUCCUUUCAUGCAUGUGUCUAUUCCACCCCAUAAAAGUUUAAAUCCUAACUGGGGAGACAGCAGGUGUGAACAUGAGACCAUCCCAGAACAACAAGAAGAGGAGGUUGUGCGGUGCCAGUGCUCGCAUGGGUCAGAAAGGGUAGGAGCUGAGGGAGCCACAGACCUUCUAGAACUCCCUGCUUAAUGCCUCGAUUCCCCUCAAGUUCAUGGUCAGCCUUCCCUUGGACAGAAUGAUUGCCCAAGACCCUUUUUACUUGAUGGAGACAACAAUGCAAUUCCCCCCACUAUUCCUGGGGAGGGUGAGGCAUGACACUCCCAGUGCAAGAGGCUGAGAGACAUGCUUCAGAGUGGGCUGCUGAGCAGCAAAGGUGAUGGUGAGUCAGGGCAGCGGAGGGAGACACGGCCACUCACAGGGGACAGAGGAGCUGGGAACACAAACAUGGAGCUCUAAGCCCUGCAGAAGGGACACCACAGCUGGGAGUCCAAGGAGAGCGCAUGUACCCAUGCCUUGGGGAGGCUGCCAUACCUCCAGCAUGCCAGCUGCCAUGACACCUCCUGGUAAGGACAGACAGUCACAGGGCUCACACGCGGUGGCCAGGCUCAGCAUUCCCUUGGCUUUUCUUGCCACUGAGGGCACUGGGCGGAGCAGCCCUGCGGUGGUCUGAUGUGGAAGGUCAGUAGAUUCUCUGUGGCCAUGUCCACUUUGGUCAGAGAGUGCUGGGGAAUGAAGAGGGGUGAGUCCAGCCUUCUCUGGAGUGGUCCCUUGUGGACUGUUGUCCAUGACCUCCUCCUGUGUCACUCGAACUCUCACCUCAUGGUCCAGGAAGGCUCCUGCUUUGCACCUUCAACUCCCAUCUCCCUCCAUCACAGUGGUAACAAGAAGUUACCACUGGAAUUUUCUUUGGAACUGAAAGUUUCUGUGGGCAAAAGUCCAGCAGCUUCUGUUCAGAACAUGUAUAAAUAUUUUUUCCUUCUUCACCUCCCUCAUGGAUAUUUUAUGCUUGGAUCAUGUAUGGUCAGUGGGGGAGAAUCGAGUUUUACUAGGACUUCCGAUGGGUGAAUACUGGCAGCUGCAAAACUCCAUCACAUUAAAAAAAAAAAAAAAAAAAAGUCCAAGGUGUUUUCUCCAUACAA